rnacentral:snRNA from 1 species
GGUGCUUGCUUGGCAACAUAUACUAAAAUUGAAAUGAUACACAGAAGAUUAGCAUGGCCCCUGGGCAAUGAUGACAUGCAAAUUUGAGAAGCAUUCCAUAAUUUU